rnacentral:lncRNA from 1 species
ACCCAAUGCCCUGUUGUCUGUUUCUGUUAAUCUGAUAGGUGGAGCUCAUAACUGUGAAGCCGUGCGGACUGCUGCUUCUGCCUGGGAGCAUGCUUCCCUAAAUCGCUACUCUUACCGCUUAUCUUCAGCAGGAUCUUUCCUGACCGUCCAGUGGAAAUUGCCACUCCUAUCCACUACAUCAUACAAUCUUUAUUGGCUUUGAAACCACUGAUCUAUCAUUUACAAGAUACGUUAACUGGGUAACAGAAGUUAGCACUGAGGAACUAAGUCAUCUCAAGGUCAUGUU